rnacentral:rRNA from 1 species
AGAAUCAACGCUGGCGGCGUGCCUAACACAUGCAAGUCGAACGAGAAAGUGGAGCAAUCCAUGAGUAAAGUGGCGCACGGGUGAGUAACACGUGACUAACCUACCCUUGAGUGGGGGAUAACCUAGGGAAACCUGGGCUAAUACCGCAUAAUACCUUCGGGUCAAAGGAGCAAUUCGCUUAAGGAGGGGGUCGCGGCCGAUUAGUUAGUUGGCGGGGUAAUGGCCCACCAAGACUAUGAUCGGUAUCCGGCCUGAGAGGGCGCACGGACACACUGGAACUGAAACACGGUCCAGACUCCUACGGGAGGCAGCAGUGGGGAAUUUGCGCAAUGGGGGAAACCUUGACGCAGCAACGCCGCGUGGAGGAUGAAGUCCCUUGGGACGUAAACUCCUUUCGAUCGGGACGAUUAUGACGGUACCGAGAGAAGAAGCCCCGGCUAACUUCGCGCCAGCAGCCGC